CCCUUAGAUGUUCUGGGCGGUCCGCGCACUACAAUGGCGCUUUCAGCGAGUUCCUAUGUUGAAUUUUCCUGGGUAUUCUUGGAAGCGGCGUCUUGACUUGGGAUAGAUCCUUGUAAUUGUUGGUUUUGAACGAGGAAUUCCUUGUAAUCGCGGUUGAUCAGCUCGCGUUGAAUACGUCCCUGCCCUUUGUACACACCGCCCGUCGCUCCUACCGAUGAAUCGUCCGGUGAAGUUCACAGAGUGGCGGUUCGUGGAGUUGCUCGCGAAGUGAAAUGGACCUCACGAUUUAGAGGAAGGAGAAGUCGUAACA
rnacentral:rRNA from 1 species